GUUUCAUUUAAAUUUAUAUUAGAAUUUUAUUUUUUAGUUAAAAAGCUAAAAUUUUGUUAAAAGACGAGAAGACCCUAUAAAUCUUUAUAUUUAUUUUUAUUUUAAUUUUUUAAGAUUAAUUUUAUUAUAAUAAAGUUAAAUAUUUUAUUGGGGUGAUAUUAAAAUUUAAUUAACUUUUAAUUAUUAUAAUUACAUUGAUUUAUGAUUUAUUGAUCCAUUAAUAAUGAUUAAAAAAUUAAGUUACUUUAGGGAUAACAGCGUAAUUUUUUUGGAGAGUUCUUAUCGAUAAAAAAGUUUGCGACCUCGAUGUUGGAUUAAGAGAUAGUUUUAAUGCAGAAGUUAAAAUAUAAAGUCUGUUCGACUUUUAAAUUCUUACAUGAUCUGAGUUCAAACCGGUGUAAGCCAGGUUGGUUUCUAUCUUUAAUUUUAUAUAAUAUUUUAGUACGAAAGGAAUUUAUAUUAGAAAUAAUUUUUUACAUUUGAAU
rnacentral:rRNA from 1 species